GAUGAACGCUGGCGGCGUGCCUAAUACAUGCAAGUCGAGCGAACAGACGAGGAGCUUGCUCCUCUGACGUUAGCGACGGACGGGUGAGUAACACGUGGAUAACCUACCUAUAAGACUGGGAUAACUUCGGGAAACCGGAGCUAAUACCGGAUAAUAUAUUGAACCGCAUGGUUCAAUAGUGAAAGACGGUUUUGCUGUCACUUAUAGAUGGAUCCGCGCCGCAUUAGCUAGUUGGUAAGGUAACGGCUUACCAAGGCAACGAUGCGUAGCCGACCUGAGAGGGUGAUCGGCCACACUGGAACUGAGACACGGUCCAGACUCCUACGGGAGGCAGCAGUAGGGAAUCUUCCGCAAUGGGCGAAAGCCUGACGGAGCAACGCCGCGUGAGUGAUGAAGGUCUUCGGAUCGUAAAACUCUGUUAUUAGGGAAGAGCAAAUGUGUAAGUAACUAUGCACGUCUUGACGGUACCUAAUCAGAAAGCCACGGCUAACUACGUG
rnacentral:rRNA from 1 species